rnacentral:rRNA from 1 species
UACGUAGGGGGCAAGCGUUGUUCGGAAUUACUGGGCGUAAAGGGCGCGUGAGGCGCACGGCAAGUCAGGAGUGAAAGCCCUGGGCUCAACCCGGGAACUGCUUUUGAAACUGCCGAGCUAGAGUGCGGAAGGGGCAACUGGAAUUCCCAGUGUAGCGGUGAAAUGCGUAGAUAUUGGGAAGAACACCUGAGGCGAAGGCGGGUUGCUGGGCCGACACUGACGCUGAGGAGCGAAAGCGUGGGGAGCGAACAGG